CCCUGGCUCAGGACGAACGCGGGCGGCGUGCCUAAUACAUGCAAGUCGAGCGGAUUAAGCGUUUCUUCGGAAACGCUUAGUUAGCGGCGGACGGGUGAGUAACACGUGGGUAACCUGCCUGUAAGACUGGGAUAACAUUCGGAAACGAAUGCUAAUACCGGAUACGCGAUACGGUCGCAUGACCGAAUCGGGAAAGAUGGAGCAAUCUAUCACUUACAGAUGGACCCGCGGCGCAUUAGCUAGUUGGUGAGGUAACGGCUCACCAAGGCGACGAUGCGUAGCCGACCUGAGAGGGUGAUCGGCCACACUGGGACUGAGACACGGCCCAGACUCCUACGGGAGGCAGCAGUAGGGAAUCUUCCGCAAUGGACGAAAGUCUGACGGAGCAACGCCGCGUGAGUGAUGAAGGUUUUCGGAUCGUAAAGCUCUGUUGCCAGGGAAGAAUGCUUGGGAGAGUAACUGCUCCCAAGGUGACGGUACCUGAGAAGAAAGCCCCGGCUAACU
rnacentral:rRNA from 1 species